UGGAGGUUCAGGUUGGUGAAUGGGGUAAAAGUCGACCCCAGACCCAGCGGAUUUGGGGAGGGAGGAAACCUCAGGCCGUGCUCAGGCUGAGACAAUACAGUAAUUGCCUCAGUUCAGUCACGCCCUUUUUUUUUUUUUUUUUUUUUUUUUACCUUCUCGUGGUUGUUUUUUUGUUUGUUUGUUUUGGCUGACCCAUUCUGGAGACCACGGAUCGUAAGAGACCUGUGUUUCUGUCAUCUUCGCUCCCUGCUUUAGUGAGUCCCCAUCUCUACCCUUCUUCAGGGCAGUGGAAUUUGAUCACGAGAAGUUGCUUCACUACUCGCAGAUACCAGCCGAAGCCAGAAGAACAUACCAACGGCAGAGAAACCAGGAAGAUAAUUCUGCCUAUUUAAUACUUUACAAUAUGGACUGUUUCCUUUUAGUUUAAAUAUAAUAUCAUCAGCUUGAAGAAAGUGAAAUUCCCAUAUACCUCUUAAUUUUGUGUUUCCUACCCCCAGAAUCUCUACCUAUCAACUCUGCUUUUUACAACAUUUGGCUCUAAUAAGACAGUACUGGAGGCAGCUUUGGAAUGUAGAUACAAAGUGCCUUUAUGCCAAAAGAUAAUUUCACAACAUGGAGAUCCUUGCUUAAGUCGAGACUAUCUUCAGUUACAUUUAUAGGAUGUAUUGCCUUAGUGCCUAGUUUUGUCCUUAAUCCGGAAUUGAGGGAAACUAGGACGCUUCAGAAGUUAAGAAGGUUGGCAGAGGUGGCUAUAGAUGUAACAUUCCACCCUCCUUAUCAAACUAUCCAGAGAGCAUGGUGUCCAAACUAUAAAUAAAUCGUCAAAAGAUUCUGAGUAUCAGAGUUCUGAGCUAUCCAAAAUAGGCAUGCACAGGGCAGUUGCUUUAUACUGACUAUAAAGGGGGCUAGAGACUAUGCAUUGGUUUAGGCUUGUGUUUUUUGUGGGCAGAUGAAUAGCAUAAGAAUCAGAAGAUACAGGAAUCAUAAGCACUAACACUGGAAACAGCUAGAUGUGGGUGGGGCUGCGAAAUUGUUCAUGAACCCAUCCUGCUGUGGAUGAAUCCAGAACUUCCCUGAGGUUUCCACCUCUGCUGUAGUGGGACAAGAUUGUAAAUAGACAAGGCCCAGGGCAUCUGCAGAUGGUAAGUGUGGUAGAGAGGGAUUGGAGUGGUUUUCUGGUGUGUCUGUGGGAAGCAGCUGCUAUCCUUAAGGAAGAAAAGAUGCAGAAGGAAAAUGGCUAGCUGUCAGUGACAACACAUCUUGUGAAGUCUUACUCUUUCAUUUCUGACACUGUGGUUCUUACAUCUGUCCUAAACCCGGCAGCCUCAUUGAGAUUCACGAAGCAUGUCCUAUGUGACAGUAAGACUGGAAUUAUUAUCAAGGUGGGAUCCAUCCCUGCUACAGUACAGCCAUGAAAGGAAUCACAAGUUAGUCAGAAACUUUGUACAGCUUCUCAGCCAUCUUCCCAGGAAUCAACAGAUAUACCACAGGAAAAGCUGUUAUAAAUGCUGGGUUCAACUCUUUUUCUUCUGGAUUUUCCAUCACGUCAUUAAUUUUUUAAUGCCUUCAGAUGUUUCUAUUAUAUUCUGUCUAUCCUUUUGAGUUCUCAGAAGAAGGACUAGUCUCAGUGACCAAGCCUAUCAUUACUAAAUAAUAUAAAAAUAAGUACACAUGAAUGAUUUGUAAAAUUUAACCAUUUAGAUCACAUUUUAUAAUUGUAGUAUUAAUUUAAAAAUCAGUAACAAUAGAAAUCCAGAAAACCUCAUAAUUGUAAAAUAAAUUCAUUUCUAUGUAAGAUGGAUCUAAUUCAAAUAAGGAUUCUUAAAGAAAAAUAGAAAAUACAUACUUAGAACUGAACAAUGACAAAAAUAUUACAUAUCAACACCUAUAGAAUACAGCUAUGACAGUACUUCAAGGAAAUUGAAAACUUUAAAUAUUUAAAUAAAGAACACUGAAAAUUAAAGAACUAAUAAUCUGUUCUAAACCUAAGUGAUUAGGAAAAGAAUAAUGGAAAAAAAAUCAGGUAAUGAAUGAAGCAGAAAACAAAUAUUCAAUACAAAGGGGUACAAAAUCUAAAAUUGUAUCUUGUACAAAUUGCCAGAUAAAAAAAGGUCUGCGGGGAAGUACAGUACAGCAUAGGGAAUAUAGUCAAUAAUACUCUAAUAACUAUCUAUGGUAUCAAAUGGGUACUAGACUUAUCAGGGUGAUUAUUUUGUAAGUUAUAAUAAUGUCUCAUCACUAAGUUACACACCUGAAACAUAUUGUAUGUCAUAUGCAACAACAAAAAAAAGUUGUAUCUUUCAAUAAUAGCUAACAAAUCUUGGACAAGUUUACCCAAGAAAGAAAACAGAGAAUAUUAAAAAUGAAAAUGGGAACAUUACUACAAAUUCUGUAGAUAUUGAGGAGAUACCAUUAACAAUUUUGUUAGAAGAAAUAGAAAAGUAAAAGUUUCCAGAAAGUGUAACCUUUCAAAAGUCAUGUAAGAAGAAACAGGAAAUAUAAAUGAUCUGAUUGCUGAUUAUCUGAUGUAAGAUAUUGAAUCAUUAGAAAUUUCCCCAAAAUGAAAACAUGUUGCCCAGAGAGUUUUGCCAAACAUCCAUCAGAGAAAAAAUGGCAAUCUUACAUAAACCAUUUUUGAGUAUAUAAAAGAGGAAAUGUCCUUGUGUUCAUUUAUUAGGCUUCUGUAAUCUUGACACUAAAACUGAUAAGAACAGUGAAAGAGAGUCCAAUCAUAUUCAUGAAGAUAGAAGCGAAAAUCCUAAAUAACAUAGUAUCAAGCAAAACCCAGUAAAUGUGUAAAAAAAGGAAAGAAAACAUCAUCCAGUUGAAUUUAAUCCAGGAAUGUACUUUAGCAUGUUAAAAGAUUAAAAGAGAAAAAUCAUAAGCUUUAGGAAAAGUUAGCACAGAUACGGAUAAAACCUUUUGGCAAAGUACAAUUGUGCAGAACUUCCUUAAGUCAAUCAAACUUACAAUGAACAUUUUAAUGAAAUUUUUGAAGCAGUCCCUUAGAAUCAGGAAUGAGAACCACAUUGGAGAUAACCCAGCCAGCAUUGAAGGCAAUGAAAACAAAGUAUAUAAAGACUAGAAAUGAAGAAACAUAAUUCACAGAUUAUUAAAAUAAGAGCUGUGCAAGGAUUCUGUAUAUAUCAAUAUAAAAAAGCAGACUGUGUUUCUCUAGCAAAAAGGAACUAUUAGAAAGUGAUUUUUAAUGAUACCAUUUACUAUACCAUUUUAAAAUAUGAAUUACAUAUGAGUAAAUUUAAAAAUACAAAAGACAUUUAGGGGAAACAAUCACAAUGUUAUUGAAAGGCAUUGAAGAAUAUCUAAUAAAAAGAAAAAUAUACCAUGGUCAAGUAUUAAGAGACUCUAGAGUUAAGGUGGCAGUUCUUUCGUACACAAUGAAAGCAGUUGCAGUAAAAAUUCCAAGCGAAUUUUC